rnacentral:lncRNA from 1 species
CCUAGCCUGGACACGCUCGGCAGAAGCGCUUCUGGUCCAGCUGGCACUGAGAUGGCGCUGGCCGCAUCGAACAUUCCCUAGUGGAAGGAGGUCCAAUAGGGGCUGCUACGCAGGUGGGGUUAAUUCCCCCCUCCCCUGGAAGUAUUUUUUUUUUUUCAUUAAAUACUGAAAAUAACGUAGUUGACCUCCCGAACCAUUAGAAAGACGAUAGUUGUCAUUCUACACCACCGCUCGGCCGGUCCAAGUUGGUUCG